AGGUCCUGCCCCAUAGCGGGGUGCCCUGCCCCAUAGCGAGGGAGCAGGUCCUGCCCCAUAGCGGCACUUCCUGCCCCAUAGCGGGCUCCUGCCCCAUAGCGGGGUGUCCUGCCCCAUAGUGGGGUCCUGCCCCAUAGCGAGGUGCCCUGCUCUAUAGCGGGGUGC